GAGACACCGUGGUGAAGAGGAAGCCUGCUUCUCUGAUGGCCCCUCUGAAGCGGAAGGAGGAGUUCUCCUUGUUCAAGGUGUCUGAUGAUGAAUAUAAAGUAAAAAUCUCGCCUCAGCUGCUCUUGGCCACCCAGCGCUUCCUGUCCCGAGAAGUGGAUGUAUUCAGCCCGCUGCGCAUCUCUGAGAAGGUCCUGCUGCACCUGUUGAAGCAUCCCAGUGUCAACCAGGAAGUGAGGUUUGACGAGAGCAACCGGCUGGCCACACACCACUACCUGUACCAGCGCAGCCAGCCGGUGGAUUACUUCAUUCUCAUCCUGCAGGUAGCUGUGGGUCCCAGGCCUGGAGUCCCUCCUGCUUCCUCAGGCCAGGGAAGGGUCUAGGAGAAGAGGGGAGCAGGGGC
rnacentral:sRNA from 1 species